rnacentral:rRNA from 1 species
UACGUAGGUGACCAGCGUUGUCCGGAUUUACUGGGCGUAAAGAGCGCGCAGGCGGUCGUUCAAGUCGAGUGUGAAAGCCCCCGGCUCAACUGGGGAGGGUCAUUCGAUACUGAUCGACUCGAAGGCAGGAGAGGGAAGUGGAGUUCCCGGUGUAGUGGUGAAAUGCGUAGAUAUCGGGAGGAACACCAGUGGCGAAGGCGACUUCCUGGCCUGUUCUUGACGCUGAGGCGCGAAAGCUAGGGGAGCAAACGGG